UGCAGUCGACGCUGAGCCCGAAGCUUGCUUCGGGUGGAUGAGUGGCGAACGGGUGAGUAACACGUGAGUAACCUGCCCCUGAUUUCGGGAUAAGCCUGGGAAACCGGGUCUAAUACCGGAUACGACCACCUGACGCAUGUUGGGUGGUGGAAAGUUUUUCGAUCAGGGAUGGGCUCGCGGCCUAUCAGCUUGUUGGUGGGGU
rnacentral:rRNA from 1 species